GAAAAACGUUAUUCCAGGCCCUGGCUGGACAAUUCAAGGAUUUCUUAGAUGAAAUAGUAGAGUGAGGCUUUUGGACCAUCUGAGGGAAGAUGCUUCAAUUUGAGGGUGAGGCGGACAGACAAGAACCAUGUUUAAACCUCUUCUGUCUCUAUUGCAAAGCCUAUGUCAUUAAUGGAGUAAAGAAUAAAAACCGUAUCAUCUGAUCCAGCAAUCCCACUACACAAGGUUGAUGUCCUUCUGAACUUUCCACUUCACCGUUAGGAUACUUACCCUCCCCUUUAUUCACUGAUGUGCUGGAAAAUGUUUAAAGACUGGCUUUCUGGGGAAUAAAGUCCCGAAUUUUAGCAUUUGCCUAUUUUGUGGUGCAAAUGCUCCCAUCAUGGCUGAUUUCAAGCUACCAAUGUGACAUCAGCAGACUUGGAAAAUUCACAAAAAUCUAACAAUCCAGCUCUAGGGAGCAGGGAGAACCAACUCCAGUUCAUCGCUGUAUUUAUUUCACCAGUUCUAAACCACAAGGUCUCUGAAGAGGUGGAUUUUAUUUGAUUCUUCAUACAUUUAAGUAAUAAAAGAUAGCAAAAAGUAAGAAACUAGAUCUCUAGACUGAAACCAGUGCUUUAUCCAUGAAACCACAUUAUUUGUAACUAGUAGGACAUAAAAUAUUUCUGGCUAUCAUCUUAACCAAGUUAAAUGCUGCCAUCAGGAAAAGUUGAAGGAAGCCAUAUGUUCAGUCUGUUAUUUUAGAUUUAGUGUGUUCCAUUUCUUUAGAGGUUGAAGAAGAGAAGAAGAAAAGCUCUUCCUUUAGGGAAUCAGACAUUGGGACUCUUACCUGCUUAUUCACAAUAGCAUCUCCAAAGCCUUACAUGGUGCCUGGCACAUACGUGCUCCACAAGUGUUGAAUGAGUAAGUGCAUGAGAUUUUACAGAGACAUUAUGUAGGCUGAAUAGAAGAUUUUUAAAGAAUGGCUUCCUCAAAAGCAUAAGACAAUAGGAAGAAUCAAAGCUUCAAGAAUGACAACGUAAGAUAAAAUGUCAUGCGGUUGAUAUGUACAUACCAUGCUGUUGAUCCACAUAACAUGCUGGUAA